UGAGGGGCCCAGGGUACAGGGAGAGUGCCAUGCAGCUUUAACCGCACACAUGUACUUGUUUUACAGCUUGAAAACAAAAAAGACCCAACUGUGCAAGUGAAUAAAGGACAAAUCAAGUAAAUUAUAGUCAGGAUCACAGUCAAAACCCAGAAUGAAGGUCUGGGUUCCUCAGAGACUUGAAUGAAUCAAAGACGGUUUUUCCACCUCCCCUCCAG
rfam:Charadrius vociferus contig64784, whole genome shotgun sequence.